GACUGGGAUAACUCGUGGAAACGCGAGCUAAUACCGGAUAACACUUUUCAUCUCCUGAUGAGAAGUUGAAAGGCGGCUUUUGCUGUCACUUACAGAUGGGCUGCGGCGCAUUAGCUAGUUGGUAAGGUAACGGCUUACCAAGGCGACGAUGCGUAGCCGACCUGAGAGGGUGAUCGGCCACACUGGGACUGAGACACGGCCCAGACUCCUACGGGAGGCAGCAGUAGGGAAUCUUCCGCAAUGGACGAAAGUCUGACGGAGCAACGCCGCGUGAGUGAUGAAGGUUUUCGGAUCGUAAAACUCUGUUGUUAGGGAAGAACAAGUACUAUAGUAACUGAUAGUACCUUGACGGUACCUAACCAGAAAGCCACGGCUAACUACGUGCCAGCAGCCGCGGUAAUACGUAGGUGGCAAGCGUUGUCCGGAAUUAUUGGGCGUAAAGCGCUCGCAGGCGGUUCUUUAAGUCUGAUGUGAAAUCUUACGGCUCAACCGUAAACGUGCAUUGGAAACUGGGGAACUUGAGUGCAGAAGAGGAGAGUGGAAUUCCACGUGUAGCGGUGAAAUGCGUAGAGAUGUGGAGGAACACCAGUGGCGAAGGCGACUCUCUGGUCUGUAACUGACGCUGAGGAGCGAAAGCGUGGGGAGCGAACAAGAUUAGAUACCCUGGUAGUCCACGCCGUAAACGACCUCUCUAGUGUUAGGGGGUUUCCGCCCCUUAGUGCU
rnacentral:rRNA from 1 species